rnacentral:rRNA from 1 species
UGGGGAAUAUUGCACAAUGGGCGCAAGCCUGAUGCAGCCAUGCCGCGUGUAUGAAGAAGGCCUUCGGGUUGUAAAGUACUUUCAGCGAGGAGGAAGGCGGUAAGGUUAAUAACCUUAUCGAUUGACGUUACUCGCAGAAGAAGCACCGGCUAACUCCGUGCCAGCAGCCGCGGUAAUACGGAGGGUGCAAGCGUUAAUCGGAAUUACUGGGCGUAAAGCGCACGCAGGCGGUCUGUCAAGUCGGAUGUGAAAGCCCCGGGCUCAACCUGGGACCUGCAUUCGAAACUGGCAGGCUAGAGUCUUGUAGAGGGGGGUAGAAUUCCAGGUGUAGCGGUGAAAUGCGUAGAGAUCUGGAGGAAUACCGGUGGCGAAGGCGGCCCCCUGGACAAAGACUGACGCUCAGGUGCGAAAGCGUGGGGAGCAAACA